AAGUCGUAACAAGGUUUCCGUAGGUGAACCUGCGGAAGGAUCAUUACCUAGAGUUGUAGGCUUUGCCUGCUAUCUCUUACCCAUGUCUUUUAAGUACCUUCGUUUCCUCGGCGGGUUCGCCCGCCGAUUGGACAACUUAAACCCUUUGCAGUUGCAAUCAGCGUCUGAAAAAACAUAAUAGUUACAACUUUCAACAACGGAUCUCUUGGUUCUG
rnacentral:misc_RNA from 1 species